rnacentral:tRNA from 1 species
AAACAAGAAGCGAAAAUUUGCAUUCAGUUUCGACCUGACUCUUGGUAUAAAUUACCCUUGUUUA